UACAGAGGGGGCAAGCGUUGUUCGGAAUUACUGGGCGUAAAGGGCGCGUAGGCGGCCUUUUAAGUCGAACGUGAAAUCCCCGGGCUCAACCCGGGAACUGCGUCCGAUACUGGAAGGCUUGAAUCCGGGAGAGGGAUGCGGAAUUCCAGGUGUAGCGGUGAAAUGCGUAGAUAUCUGGAGGAACACCGGUGGCGAAGGCGGCAUCCUGGACCGGCAUUGACGCUGAGGCGCGAAAGCCAGGGGAGCAAACGGG
rnacentral:rRNA from 1 species